CAGUAUAGACUAACUCCUUUUCAGCACAAAUUCUUAUACCUAUACGUCUUAUACUAACCUGUCAUUAAAAAUAAUGUCCAGGUUGGCUCUGGGGUUCAGCCAGCCAUAGGCUUAUAAACCCUUCUCUAUCCUGUGAUCCUUACAAAUUCAAUUCUAAAUGGCACUGUGAGCUGUUUGGCACUGCGUCGUAACAGCACUUUCUGAAUACAAUGACCCAGUGCGCGCAGCAAUCGCGUGCAAUGGAGUAGCGAAUAUAGAGUAAGAAGCUUGGGUACACUGUGUACUUUCUCGAUUUCUCACACAGAUAUUGAUACAUUCCAGGACAUUUUCACUCACAUUUGCGUCCCGAACUCAUGCUAGAUUGAAGACUUUGCAGCUUCAUCAAAAUGUCUUUCCUAGAGGGAUCAUUUCGAAGCAUAUAUCUCGCAAGAGCGCAUGCAUACUGGGUUGCCCUGAAAGGAACAAAAAAGGGAUUCGGGGGUCUGGAAACUCUCAUGACAUUCACUGGGGCCAUCACUUUUCCAGUGCCAUCCAGGGCUUUCCAGUAUCUUUUCGAAAUGCCCUAUGAGGGAGAACUGAGAGCAGUCACAUCAACACCAAUGAAGGGAAAGCCCUCUAGUAUUAACUACUCCAGAGGUGUCCAGCAUUUCUAGUGGGACAGACAGAUGAGCAUCUUUGCGCAAUUGCAGAAGCCCCUGAAAUUGAGAACCUUGAACAGAGGAUCAGCUUUCCAGGAGACUGCAUAUUUAGAAUGAUGGCCCAUGUUGGUUCAAAUGCACCAU